rnacentral:rRNA from 1 species
UACGUAGGGGGCAAGCGUUGUCCGGAUUUAUUGGGCGUAAAGAGCGUGUAGGCGGCCAAACAGGUCAGCUGUGAAAACUCGAGGCUCAACCUCGAGACGUCGGUUGAAACCGUUUGGCUAGAGUCCGGAAGAGGAGAGUGGAAUUCCCGGUGUAGCGGUGAAAUGCGCAGAUAUCGGGAAGAACACCCGUGGCGAAGGCGGCUCUCUGGGACGGUACUGACGCUGAGACGCGAAAAGCGUGGGGAGCAAACAGG